rnacentral:lncRNA from 1 species
AUGUCUCUAGCUACCCUUCCACCUCCACUGGCCACACAGAAGAUGCUGAGAGCUGAGUGGGACCACUUUCUCCCCAUCCCUUCUGGCCAGGAAAUCCAAGAAUUGUGCAUGAUUCUUUCAUCAGAUUUUCUUUCUGUAUCAGGGGAUUUAAGCAACUGAAUCAAUUUACAUUCCUGCCAACUGUGCACAAGACUUCCCUUCUCUCCACAUCCUCACCAACUGUUAUUUCUUGUCUUCUUGAUGAGAGCCUUUCUAACAGGUAUGAGACGAUAUCUCAGUGUGUUUUGAUUUGCA